rnacentral:tRNA from 1 species
UGAGGUAUAACUCAGUUGGUAGAGUACUGUGCUGAUAUCGCAGAAGUCUUGGGUUCGAUCCCCAAUGCCUCAACUA